CCUACGGGCGGCAGCAGUGAGGAAUAUUGGUCAAUGGCCGUAAGGCUGAACCAGCCAAGUAGCGUGAGGGAAGACUGCCCUAUGGGUUGUAAACCUCUUUUAUGCGGGGAUAAAGGUGUCUACGUGUGGAUGUUUGCAGGUACCGCAUGAAUAAGGACUGGCUAAUUCCGUGCCAGGAGCCGCGGUAAUACGGAAGGUCCGGGCUGUAACCGGAUUUAUUGGGUUUAAAGGGAUCGUAGGCCGGUCUUGAAGCUUGCCGUGAAAUUUUGUGGCGCAAACGUGGUAGUGCGGCGCGAACUGGAGAUCUUGAGGGCGCGGAAGGCAGGCGGAAGUCGUGGUGUAGCGGUGAAAUGCUUAGAUAUCACGAAGAACCCCGAUUGCGAAGGCAGCAUGCCGCAGCGUUACUGACGCUGAAGCUCGAAAGCGCGGGUAUCGAACAGGAUUAGAUACCCCUGUAGUC
rnacentral:rRNA from 1 species